rnacentral:rRNA from 1 species
AUUGAACGCUGGCGGCAGGCCUAACACAUGCAAGUCGAGCGAGCGGCGGACGGGUGAGUAAUGUAUGGGGACCGCCCGAUAGAGGGGGAUAACUACUGGAAACGGUGGCCAAUACCGCAUACUGUCGGAUAACCCAUAUGGGAUUAGCUAGUAGGUAAGGUAAUGGCUUACCUAGGCGACGAUCCCUAGCGGGUCUGAGAGGAUGAUCAGCCAAACGGGGACUGAGACACGGCCCAGACUCCUACGGAGGCAGCAGUGGGGAAGAGUGCGCAAUGGGCGAAAGACUGAUGGAGCCAUGACGCGGGAAUGAAGAAGGCCCUAGGGGUGUAAAGUACUGUCAGUAGGGAGGCGUUACCGACAGAAGAAGCACCGGCUAACUACGUGCCAGCAGCCGCGGUAAUUC